rnacentral:lncRNA from 1 species
AUUAUAUAAAAAACAGAAAAAGUAUCUGUUGGAUUAUGUUGGAAAGAGAGAAAACAAAUUUCAAUUUUUUUUAAACUUAAAACAUAACUCACAAUCAAUAGGUGACAAGUGACAUGGUGGUAAAAAAAAAAAAAAAAAAAUCUUUACUCCGCGUCAUAUCUCUCUCCCUUCAUUUCCAAUUUUUUCAAUUUUUUUAAUGAUAGUUUAAUACUCUUAAUUUAAAGAAACAAGGAAAUAAACUCAAUGUCUCUCUCCUCCUACUUGGUCUAAUCAAAAC